CUAACUUUUUCACUUGUUUCUUGUUGGUAUUUGCAUUUCUCCGGUGCCGGUGUGAUCAACCCAGAGGAGGCAGGAUGGAAGUCUUGCAGCCUCAGCAUAGAGUCCCCUCCUGGAAGACCUGUGGGGUUGUGUACCAACCAUGCUUUAGUCUUUUCUGAACAUCUAAUAAAAAUUGGGAAUACAAAUAUGACCCUCAAUACUGAUGAUGUGUAUAGAAUCAUUCUGUGCAUAUAGAAUCAUAGCCAUCAUUAAGGUUGGAAAAGACCACUAAGAUCAUCAUCAAAUCCAACCAUCAACCCAUCACCACCAUGCCCACUAAAUCACGUCACUGAGUACAGCUCUACCCUUCUUUUCUUGAGUAAUCAGGUCCUGCUGAUUUCCCCAUUGCUUUGUGCCACCCAGGACAAAAACACACAUCUAACUGGGGAAACCCUGAUACUUAACUUUGGAGCUCUUUCACCAUGUCACUUCCCACCAUAUAUUUGAGAAGAAGCUGAACAAAAGAAUAAAGCAUCCAGGAGGCAACGGGUCUGAUUCACAGUAACAUUUUCCCAAAUGUAUGUAAUUCCUCUCAAAACCGUGUUUCACAAAUGCAUAAAAAUUGAAUACAGAGACCAGCAAUGAAAGUACAGCAAUUACUGUGAAUAGUGAUGCAGAGCUGGAGGUGCUGUCUUUGAGAAAAAGGAAAGAUGCAGGUAGAAAGGGAAGCGAGGAGCUGGCCUCAAUUGAUCACUUACCAGCUCAAUGAGCAGAUUAGCAAGAUGAUGAUGUCCUUGUCUAGCUACAUUGCUGGCAGCCUUCACUGCAGAUCUCUUGCUUAUGGGGAAGGAAAGUAAUAGAGAUUUAACAGCCUGGGAAAGGUUCUGUGGGCCUGGAGGCAGCAACCACCUUUAGGUAUUUCUGGGGUGUAAGAGCUGAGGACAGUAAGCAAGGUUGAUCUGAAGUUCUUCUAUUCACAACAACCACUGAAACAGAACAAGGAGUGUUUGUAUACUCCAGUGUCAAAGCUCAAAAAGAAAAAAAAAACAGCCAAAAAAGCAGAUUAUCUCCAGGCAAAUGGAUUGAGGAACUGAGUUCUCAAGGCAAAUGCCUGCAGAAGUGUAACCACUCACAGGUUCUGACAUUUGCACGUUAGGAAACUGCUCAACCCAUCACCUCUAUGGAGUUGGAGUAGCGGAGACCAAAAUGCGAGCGUUGAGCUGUGCAGGAGGAAGGCAGCACUGGGAUGGAGCUGGGUACUGCUGGGGUCCAACAUCCUCCCUGCCGCUAUGCACAGCUGCCAGUCAAAGAAAAUAGCACAUGGUCACGGAAAUGGGCCUUCUGCACCUCUCAGUGCUGCAGUGGGAAUACAAUACAAACCACAUCACUUUCCUCUUCCUGUGACUUGGGCAUGUCGUGAGGAGCUGCUCCAUCUCUGCCUUCCACUGCUCCACAGCAGCUGUGCAGUUCCAGCUGGCAAACAUUGCUAGGGAGUUUGAGGAGUUUAUUAUUG
rnacentral:lncRNA from 1 species